GACGAACGCUGGCGGCGUGCUUAACACAUGCAAGUCGAACGGAAAGGCCCUGCUUUUGUGGGGUGCUCGAGUGGCGAACGGGUGAGUAACACGUGAGUAACCUGCCCUUGACUUUGGGAUAACUUCAGGAAACUGGGGCUAAUACCGGAUAGGAGCUCCUGCUGCAUGGUGUGGGUUGGAAAGUUUCGGCGGUUGGGGAUGGACUCGCGGCUUAUCAGCUUGUUGGUGGGGUAGUGGCUUACCAAGGCUUUGACGGGUAGCCGGCCUGAGAGGGUGACCGGCCACAUUGGGCCUGAGAUACGGCCCAGACUCCUAUGGGAGGCAGCAGUGGGGAAUAUUGCACAAUGGGCGGAAGCCUGAUGCAGCAACGCCGCGUGCGGGAUGACGGCCUUCGGGUUGUAAACCGCUGUCGCCUGUGACGAAGCGUGAGUGACGGUAAUGGGUAAAGAAGCACCGGCUAACUACGUG
rnacentral:rRNA from 1 species